rnacentral:rRNA from 1 species
UAACGCGUGAGGAACCUGCCUUUCCGAGGGGGACAACAGUUGGAAACGACUGCUAAUACCGCAUGACACAUAGAGAUCGCAUGGUUUUUAUGUCAAAGAUUUAUCGCUGAAAGAUGGCCUCGCGUCUGAUUAGCUAGUUGGUGAGGUAACGGCCCACCAAGGCGACGAUCAGUAGCCGGACUGAGAGGUUGACCGGCCACAUUGGGACUGAGAUACGGCCCAG